rnacentral:tRNA from 1 species
GCCUUUUCGCCGAAGGGGGACCUGGUUGCCCUCUGGGAUAUGGAUGAGGGGGCAGCCCUGCUGUUCGACACGGCGGACGGGCG